rnacentral:rRNA from 1 species
CGCCAGACUCCUACGGGAGGCAGCAGUGGGGAAUAUUGCACAAUGGGGGAAACCCUGAUGCAGCGGCGCCGCGUGAGCGAUGAAGUAUUUCGGUAUGUAAAGCUCUAUCAGCAGGGAAGAAAAUGACGGUACCUGAGUAAGAAGCCCCGGCUAACUACGUGCCAGCAGCCGCGGUAAUACGUAGGGGGCAAGCGUUAUCCGGAUUUACUGGGUGUAAAGGGAGCGUAGACGGCAGUGCAAGUCUGGAGUGAAAGGCGGGGGCUCAACCCCCGGACUGCUCUGGAAACUGUACGGCUGGAGUGCAGGAGAGGUAAGUGGAAUUCCUAGUGUAGCGGUGAAAUGCGUAGAUAUUAGGAGGAACACCAGUGGCGGAGGCGGAUUGCUGGACAGUAACUGACGCUGAGGCGCGAAAGCGUGGGGAGCAAACAGGAUUAGAUACCCGCGUAU